GCCCACUUCCUGUCCUGAUGUCACAGGUCCUGACGUCACCCCAGCCCACUUCCUGUUCUGAUGUCACAGGUCCUGACAUCAACCAGCCCACUUCCUGUCCUGAUGUCAGGUCCUGACGUCACCCACCUCACUUCCUGUCCUGAUAUCACAGGCCCUGAUGUCACCCCAGCUCACUUCCUGUCUUGAUGUCACAGGUUCUAACAUUCUACAUAUCCCGGAGACGGAGGCUGGGGAAGCUGAGCCCUUUUCCUUCAGCUGGAGGGAACAUGGUGAGGAGAGGAGAAGGGGCCCACUUCCUUGUCCUCCUGAUAUACUGCUGGCAAAAAGUGCAGCUCUGGCCAAUGGGGACACAUUCAGGUACAGACCAAGGGAUCACAUGGCAGACAGAAAACCGUGGACCUGGGUCAGAUACCGGUUCUGACCCGAAUUUGAAAAAGUUGGAGGAAGUGGCCACAGUAUUGGAUGAGAUUCUAGUCCAAGAGAUGCUGGAAAAAAACAAAUCAACAGUUCCUGACCUCUAUAAAAUAGCGGUAACAGUAUCAACACAACCCCCCUCGAAAAAAA